GACGAACGCUGGCGGCGUGCCUAAUACAUGCAAGUCGAACGCAGUGGGGACGGGUGAGUAACACGUGGGUAACCUCCCAUCAGAGGGGAUAACACUUGGAAACAGGUGCUAAACCUAUACUGAUGGAUGAACCCGCGGUGCAUUAGCUAGUUGGUGAGGUAACGGCUCACCAAGUCCACGAUGCAUAGCCGAUCUGGAAGGGUGAUCGGCCCCACCGGAACUGAGACACGGCCCAGACGCCUACGGGAGGCAGCAGUGGGGAAUCUUCGGCAAUGGACGAAAGUCUGACCGAGCAAUGCCGCGUGAGUGAAGAAGGUUUUCGGAUCGUAAAGCACUGUUGUUAGAGAAGCGGUAGCUACCCAGAAAGCCCCGGCUAACUACGUGCCAGCAGCCGCGGUAAUUC
rnacentral:rRNA from 1 species